rnacentral:lncRNA from 1 species
CUUGGAUUUUCUUUGAGAGCAUUAUAUGGGUGAGUGCUUUUAUAUUGAGAGAGAUGGUUGGUAUUGAAAGUUGAGUGUGUAUCUCCUCUUGUAUCUGUUUCUUUCUUAUAAUUGAAGCUUGCAUGCCUCAUGGAGAUAAGCCUUAAGCUAAUCCAUAUAUUUGAUUGUAUAUCUCUUUUAUUUCUUCUUUUUUCUGCUACAACAAGUGGUAUCAGAUCUCCAACAAUUGAUAUC